CAGACCUCUAAUCGGAAAAGUA
rnacentral:rRNA from 1 species